rnacentral:rRNA from 1 species
CCUACGGGGGGCAGCAGUGGGGAAUAUUGGACAAUGGGGGCAACCCUGAUCCAGCCAUGCCGCGUGUGUGAAGAAGGCCCUCGGGUUGUAAAGCACUUUCAGUGAGGAAGAACGCCUGGUGGUUAAUACCCAUCAGGAAAGACAUCACUCACAGAAGAAGCACCGGCUAACUCCGUGCCAGCAGCCGCGGUAAUACGGAGGGUGCGAGCGUUAAUCGGAAUUACUGGGCGUAAAGCGCGCGUAGGUGGCUUGAUAAGCCGGUUGUGAAAGCCCCGGGCUCAACCUGGGAACGGCAUCCGGAACUGUCAAGCUAGAGUGCAGGAGAGGAAGGUAGAAUUCCCGGUGUAGCGGUGAAAUGCGUAGAGAUCGGGAGGAAUACCAGUGGCGAAGGCGACCUUCUGGACUGACACUGACACUGAGGUGCGAAAGCGUGGGUAGCAAACAGGAUUAGAUACCCGUGUAGUC